GAUGAAGAACGUAGCGAAAUGCGAUACGUAAUGUGAAUUGCAGAAUUCAGUGAAUCAUCGAAUCUUUGAACGCAUAUUGCGCUCUCUGGUAUUCCGGAGAGCAUGCUUGUUUGAGAAUCAGUAAACACCUCAACUUCCAUAUCUUUUUUGAAAUGGGAGUUGGACUUGAGUGAUCCCAACGCUUUUCCUCACCGAAAAGUGGCGGGUUACUUGAAAUGCAGGUGCAGCUGGACUUUUCUCUGAGCUAUAAGCAUAUCUAUUUAGUCUGCCUAAAAAACAGAUUAUUACCUUUGCUGCAGCUAACAUAAAGGAGAUUAGUUCUUGUGCUGACUGAUGCAGGAUUCACAAAGACAGGCUUCGGCCGACUUUGUAAACUCGAUCUCAAAUCAAGUAAGACUACCCGCUGAACUUAAGCAUAUCAAUAAGCGGAGGA
rnacentral:misc_RNA from 1 species